AGCCUUCGUGUGUUGCCCAUUCAUUUCAUUUGCAUAGUGAAUGUGGUGUCAGAGAUGGCGUGAAUGAACUAUUGUUGUGAUUUUUAAAUAGAAUUCAGAGUAUUUCCAUUAAUUAAGCUCUUCAAUAAGAACAUAG